rnacentral:lncRNA from 1 species
CCCGGCAUUUCCCUUCAGAGAGUUGCUGGGGAUGCACACCUGCUCUGGGACAGCCGGAGUGCGCAACCCGCACUUCUACACGCGCGCGCCGGGCAACAUAGCGCACCGCGGGUACACGCACGCCGACCGGACACACGCAGUCUCGUACACGCCCAACGAGCGCACACACCCGCACUCCAUGCACGCGCGAUGGGCGCACACACUCGCAUCCCUACACGUGCACACACCCGCGCUCCAAUUACCGCGCUAGCGCGCAAAAGAGCCGCAACUUCCGAGUGGGACUCGGCAUGCGGGGGCAGUGCCCGGUACUUCACCAUCAGUCACCUUCGCGUCCGCCUCCUCCCCUGCUGGUUGCACCUCCAGCCGCAGAGAUUUCCGGCUGGGGCACCAGAACUGUCCAGGCCGAAAGAGCUGCUCCUCCGUCACAAAGCGCAGUUGCACACUGUACUGCAGGCGCGCGGGGACCCGGGCCGGAGCCGGGGUCGCAGCCAUGGUCCAAGCGCCUCUGCUCCUGAGCCCUAGCAGUGCCUCCCCCGCGCUGCUCUGGGCACCGAGAAACUGCUGGGGCAAGGGGGAGGGAUUUGGAAGCGCGCACCACCUUCCCCAGCUCCCGUUGCAAGUUCAGUCUUCGACCUCCGAGACGCCCGGUGACUUCUGCUGGCACCUGCUGCCCUCGGCAUCACCUCCCUCAUCCCCCUGGAGGGCACGCUGGAAAGCUGCAACUCCCCACCCUCCGCACAGGAGCGCCCCGUAGACGCGCAGAUGGGCCCAGCCACCCAGCGGGGCGGCAGCCCUGAGCACACAAGUUUGGAGAGCGCGCGAGGCACCUGAAAGUGGUUGGGGUUUGGAAGCAAAAGGGUGACACCUGCUGUUCGCUGGGACCGCUCUGCGGGUGUGGGCGUCGGUUUGGAAACGUCCUUUGCCUGAGCUCUGCUUGGCUGUGUGCCCCAUUCUUAUUACUCUAUCUCAGUGGGUCUCAAUCCCGGCUACACAUUGGAAUCACUUGGAAAGCUUUAAAAAUAAAACCAAACCUGUGCUUGGGCUCCACCAUAGGUGUUCACCACAGCUGUCAGUAUAAAUCAAUGCAUCUUGGUUCCAUUCUUCAUCAUUUGCUGGUAGCUAAAUUAUGGUAAAUUCAGCUAAGGACAUUUUAAAAUCCUGUUUAAUUUGUCCACAUGCUAAAUAUCCCAGCACACAAGAGAAAAAGCAGCAUGUACUUGGAUAAGACAAACCUAGGGCUUCCUUCGAGUUAAGGAACAGUCUUGGAAGUCUUGUUAUAGUUAAUGGUUUUUUGAGUGGAUGAGCAAAUGAAUGAAUAUACAAAUGGUUAUGCACACAAUUAAGCAAACUACUUGAUCACAUUCCUCCUUUUGGUUUUGCUUCCUCUACCUGUCAGUUGUCCUGAACACCUGCGGAGGUAUUUUGUGCAGGAUGGUUUACCACAUUGGCCUUGGGAGUUGAGGAAGCACCAGCUUAGGUUCUGCCACGUGCUCUUUCCUGACAGCGAGUGCUGCUGGCUGCUGACGCCUAGAAUCUCAGCACGGGAGCUGCCUUUGUCACAGACCUUGGUUCCCCAUUCAAUCGAGCACCUGUGCAGUUGCCCUGUGGUCUAGCAUCCCAGGCUCAGCAGUGACAGCUCCUGAUGGGCUUUCACCUGACUUUCUAAAUCAGUGCUGUUCUAAAUCUGUGCUAAAUCUGGUGACCAGCCAGAGCCUGGUCACCCCUGCAUGGAGUAGGAGUGAAGCUUAUGAAAAGGUGAGGUGCCAAACACACAGAGGAGAACACGGAGGAGGCCAUAUUGUAAUAAAGAGAAAGCAAGCAGUCAGAAGUCACCCCAUAAAACACCUUCCACCCUCUGAGCAUGACCAGCAAAGCGGUUUCUUCUUGCGGACACUGCAUCAGCCCAGCUCAAAGUGCAUUCCAUUCUGAUGAACAUCCACAAACAGUUAUGAAGAAGACCCAAAUGUCAUGAUUUUGUUCCUCUCAGAUAAUAAAAAUAUCAUGAUUCUGAAGGAGUGUUGGUGGGUGUUCAAGUCAAUUCAGUUACAAGCAUACGCCUUACCCCAGUUCUCGUGGCUUCAUCCUGAAUUAGAGUUGUCCCCUGUCAUCUGGAAUAUAUUUCCCAUUGAGACACAUUACUCUCACUCCUUCUACAGCUGUCCCAGGGUCAGUGCUUGAUUUCUCAGAGAUUUUGUUAUGUGAAUCAGUCCAAAGUGUGUUACAGCAAGACUAAGUCAUCAUGAGUCACAUGAUCCACACAUUUCCUAUUUGUAUCUUUGCUUGGUUGAGUGUGUUGUGGGGGGUUAGAAUAUAUUUUGGUCUGCUUUAACCUUUGUGUUCCAAUUCACUCUUAGGUUGAAAGAAAAAUAUAAACUCAAAUUUAAAGAAUAGCCUUCUUGUAAAAGACAAGCUUGGCUAUGACUAAGCAGUUGUUACUUGAUGAGCGAGAGAAGCCCCUUCUUGGGUAAUUGGGGCUGCAGGAAUGGAGUGACCGUUUCCCCAUCAGCAUCCCCUCUGGGUCCUUCAGGUCUGAGCUAGAAGAGCAAGGGCCAGCGUCCCCCAGCACAUAGUUGUCUUGAUGCCACAGACAAAAUAAUUUAAUUCAUGUAUGCGUCCUCAUAAAUCUGACAAAUGUUUAGAAAAUGGAAGCUUUG